ACGAACGCUGGCGGCGUGCUUAACACAUGCAAGUCGAACGGUGAAGCGCCUUCCUUUUUGGUGGGUGUGGAUGAGUGGCGCACGGGUGAGUAACACGUGAGUAACCUGCCCCCUUCUUCUGGAUAACCGCAUGAAAGUGUGGCUAAUACGGGAUAUUCUGGGUCUGUCGCAUGAUGGGUCUGGUAAAGCUAUUGUUUCGGUGGGGGAUGGGCCCGCGGCCUAUCAGCUUGUUGGUGGGGUGAUGGCCUACCAAGGCGGUGUCGGGUAGCCGGCCUGAGAGGUUGGCCGGACAAGAUGGGACUGAGACACGGCGCAGACUAGGAGGGCAGGCACCAGGGGGGAAAAGGGAAGAAUGGGCGAAAGCCUGAUGCGGGGGCGCGGCGUGAGGAUGGAGGCCUUCGGGUUGUGAACGUCUUUCGCCAGUGAAGCAGGCCUGCCUCGUUUGUGAGCGGGUUGACGGUAGCUGGAGAAGAAGCGCCGGCUAACUACGUG
rnacentral:rRNA from 1 species